rnacentral:rRNA from 1 species
UACGUAGGGUGCGAGCGUUGUCCGGAUUUAUUGGGCGUAAAGGGCUCGUAGGCGGCGUGUCGCGUCGGGUGUGAAAGACCGGGGCUUAACCCCGGAACUGCUUCCGGUACGGGCAUGCUGGAGUGUGGCAGGGGAGACUGGAAUUCCUGGUGUAGCGGUGGAAUGCGCAGAUAUCAGGAGGAACACCGGUGGCGAAGGCGGGUCUCUGGGCCAUUACUGACGCUGAGGAGCGAAAGCGUGGGGAGCGAACAGG